rnacentral:rRNA from 1 species
UACGUAGGGGGCGAGCGUUGUCCGGAGUUACUGGGCGUAAAGCGCACGCAGGCGGUCUGCUAAGUUUGGAGUGACAGUUGGUGGCUUAACUGCCAAAGUGCUUCGAAAACUGACAGACUUGAGGGCUUCAGAGGGACACGGAAUUCCGGGUGGAGUGGUGGAAUGCGUAGAUAUAGGGAAGAACACCAAUCAGGCGAAGGCAGUUAACUAUUCUAUUCCUGACAUUGAGGCAUGAAAGCGUGGGGAGCAAAACGG